CUCGUAGGCGGUUCGUCGCGUCCGGUGUGAAAGUCCAUCGCCUAACGGUGGAUCUGCGCCGGGUACGGGCGGGCUGGAGUGCGGUAGGGGAGACUGGAAUUCCCGGUGUAACGGUGGAAUGUGUAGAUACCGGGAAGAACACCAAUGGCGAAGGCAGGUCUCUGGGCCGUUACUGACGCUGAGGAGCGAAAGCGUGGGGAGCGAACA
rnacentral:rRNA from 1 species